UACGUAGGUGACCAGCGUUGUCCGGAUUUACUGGGCGUAAAGAGCGCGCAGGCGGUCGUUCAAGUCGAGUGUGAAAGCCCCCCGGCUCAACUGGGGAGGGUCACUCGAUACUGAUCGACUUGAAGGCAGGAGAGGGAAGCGGAAUUCCCGGUGUAGUGGUGAAAUGCGCAGAUAUCGGGAGGAACACCAAUGGCGAAGGCAGCUCGCUGGGACGUGACUGACGCUGAGACGCGAAAGCGUGGGGAGCAAACAGGG
rnacentral:rRNA from 1 species